GGAGUCUAACAUGUGCGCGAGUCGCUGGGAGCACUCGCUAAACCCGGAGGCGCAGUGAAAGCGGGGAGCAGCCCUUCGUGGGCCGCCGUUGGGAGGAUGUCGAGCGGAACUCCCGCACGACCGCACUCCCGGGGCGCUUCGGCCUCGGCCGCAUGCGCACCCCGAGCGCACACGUUGGGACCCGAAAGAUGGUGAACUAUGCCUGGUCAGGACGAAGUCAGGGGAAACCCUGAUGGAGGUCCGCAGCGAUUCUGACGUGCAAAUCGAUCGUCAGAGCUGGGUAUAGGGGCGAAAGACUAAUCGAACCAUCUAGUAGCUGGUUCCCUCCGAAGUUUCCCUCAGGAUAGCUGGCGCUCAUUUGGAGAGGGACGAGUCUCAUCCGGUAAAGCGAAUGAUUAGAGGCCUUGGGGCCGAAACGACCUCAACCUAUUCUCAAACUUUAAAUGGGUGAGAUCUCCGGCUUGCUCGACUGAAGCCGCGAGAGUACCGGAUCAGGGUGCCAAGUGGGCCAUUUUUG
rnacentral:rRNA from 1 species